GAUCACAAGGCUUGCUUUAUCUACCACGGCAACAGCACAUACAUCUACGAGCUAUGCAAGCACGGGUGUUGCGGGGAGAUUGACAGACAAGAAUGUUGCUGGCGAUGGAUUUACGCUGCCGGUCUUGCGGCUGUAGUAGGGGACAUUUUUAUAUACAUGGAUUAUUGCUUCACGGUGACAAAUUUGAUAUUUGAAAUUCUUCUAGAAUUUAUACCAAUGAGGCGAGCUGAGUCCGUCCCCGCCCCAGUGUUGCGCAGGCGCACUUCAGUUGGUCUCAAAUACUUCCCACGAACAUCCAGCCGGGUUAGCGCCCCUCCCAGUUAACAGAAAGACAACAGAUGUGUACCACAGCAACACCAACUGUGUACCACACCAACACCAACUGUGUACCACA